rnacentral:rRNA from 1 species
CACUGCCGAGAAAAGCCUCUAGAUAGAAAAUAGGUGCCCGUACCGCAAACCGACACAGGUAGUCAAGAUGAGAAUUCUAAGGUGAGCGAGCGAACUCUCGUUAAGGAACUCGGCAAAAUGACCCCGUAACUUCGGGAGAAGGGGUGCUCUUUAGGGUUAACGCCCAGAAGAGCCGCAGUGAAUAGGCCCAAGCGACUGUUUAUCAAAAACACAGGUCUCUGCUAAACCGUAAGGUGAUGUAUAGGGGCUGACGCCUGCCCGGUGCUGGAAGGUUAAGAGGAGUGGUUAGCUUCUGCGAAGCUACGAAUCGAAGCCCCAGUAAACGGCGGCCGUAACUAUAACGGUCCUAAGGUAGCGAAAUUCCUUGUCGGGUAAGUUCCGACCCGCACGAAAGGCGUAACGAUUUGGGCACUGUCUCAACGAGAGACUCGGUGAAAUCAUAGUACCUGUGAAGAUGCAGGUUACCCGCGACAGGACGGAAAGACCCCGUGGAGCUUUACUGUAGCCUGAUAUUGAAAUUCGGCACAGCUUGUACAGGAUAGGUAGGAGCCUUUGAAACGUGAGCGCUAGCUUACGUGGAGGCGCUGGUGGGAUACUACCCUAGCUGUGUUGGCUUUCUAACCCGCACCACUUAUCGUGGUGGGAGACAGUGUCAAGCGGGCAGUUUGACUGGGGCGGUCGCCUCCUAAAAGGUAACGGAGGCGCUCAAAGGUUCCCUCAGAAUGGUUGGAAAUCAUUCAUAGAGUGUAAAGGCAUAAGGGAGCUUGACUGCGAGACCUACAAGUCGAGCAGGGUCGAAAGACGGACUUAGUGAUCCGGUGGUUCCGCAUGGAAGGGCCAUCGCUCAACGGAUAAAAGCUACCCCGGGGAUAACAGGCUUAUCUCCCCCAAGAGUUCACAUCGACGGGGAGGUUUGGCACCUCGAUGUCGGCUCAUCGCAUCCUGGGGCUGUAGUCGGUCCCAAGGGUUGGGCUGUUCGCCCAUUAAAGCGGUACGCGAGCUGGGUUCAGAACGUCGUGAGACAGUUCGGUCCCUAUCCGUCGUGGGCGUAGGAAAUUUGAGAGGAGCUGUCCUUAGUACGAGAGGACCGGGAUGGACAUACCUCUGGUGUACCAGUUGUCGUGCCAACGGCAUAGCUGGGUAGCUAUGUGUGGACGGGAUAAGUGCUGAAAGCAUCUAAGCAUGAAGCCCCCCUCAAGAUGAGAUUUCCCAACUUCGGUUAUAAGAUCCCUCAAAGAUGAUGAGGUUAAUAGGUUCGAGGUGGAAGCAUGGUGACAUGUGGAGCUGACGAAUACUAAUCGAUC